AUCAUCUUCAAUAAAGACGCUUCUUAAUGUUGUUUUCAAUAAAGCCACUUCUGUAUAUUUUUAUACAGUUUCAAGCUGUGUUAUAAUAUCAUUCCAUCUUCUGAGGCAAAAAAAAAAAAGGCUUUUGGAAUAAUAUAUUUGUCGAGGAACCCCACGCCAUGUGACGAAAGCAAGCGCGGGCAUUUCGGAAAUAAGUUACAUCAAAAGGGUUCUGUAUUUUAAGAAUAAGGGAAUAUCUCUGAAGUGUGAGCCAAGUUGACAUAAUCAGCCAUGCUGGAUGGGGCUCAGUUUGUUGAGGCGUUGUCACGGUUGGGUUACCCACGGGCGUCUGUGCUGAAAGGUUCAGAGUUUGACUGGUUAUUUGACACAGCACCAGAUAACCUGCACCUUUUACGUGUCGUCUGCAACCGCCUGAACUGCAGCAAUGUUGUAACGCCAGAAGAAUUGCAAGCGUACAAGGCACUCCAGGAGUCCGGGAAGCCCAUACUGGAUGAGGUGACACUGGGUGAGCUGCUUAAAACCUGUUUACCUGUAGAUGGAGGUGUAGUGUCACAGGGCUGUUCUGCGCUGUGUGGAGGGGGAAAUGUAACAAUCGAGGACCUCGAGACAGAACUUCAAGCUCUCCGCAAGGAAAAGCAGCUAAAACAACGCAGACUCAAUAAGCUGCAGGUGUUGGCUACCAGCUGGGUUGCAAACUCCUCUGCAUCCCAAGCACUGCUGCAGGAAGGAGGCUCUACAGUAAAGGAUGCCAACUCUGCCUUGGCAGCUGAAAACGCAUACACCAACUCAGCUGUGGAGAACCUGUCAAAAGAGACCACCAAACUGGCUGGCUUUUUCCAAACUGACCCUCAUUACCUAAGAAGUAAAGAUGGAGCUGCUCCACCAUUAGUUACUCAACCAGUGCUCCUCUCUCAGGUGUCUCUAGAGCCUUUCCUCCAGCAACAGGAGCAAUUCACCAAAGUGUUGACUGCCUACACUCAGCGUCAGUUCUUUCAGGGCAUCUCAAACAUGAUGGAGACCUCCACAUCCAAUCGCUGCCAGCUGACCAGUCUGAGCUGUUGCAGUGAGCAUGAGGAAGAAGAGGAUGAGGGACUAGUGGAGCUCAGGGAGAAGGAGAUGGCACAACUGCAGUGGGCAUACAUAGUGGCACAGUACCAGCUGGUGAAAGAGAGGGCAAAGGAGCAUGGUGACAAGGCAGCAAAGGAGUGGCUCAUCCAGCGACUGAACAGCAGCACAGAGUCUCUGUGCUACUCAAAGGUGAGCAGGCUUGAGUCUGAUCUACACUCUGAGAUCCUCUCAAUUCAGUCUGAAACUCAGUCCCUUAUGUUAGACCCAGUCCGCUCUGCUUUACGAGACUGUGCCUGCCUCCUUAAUAUCCCAGUGGUGCGUGGUGACCUCGCUCUUCAGUUAGCCAGGCAAAAUUACUGCACCUCCAGGCAAACAGAAGUUUGUGACCAGCUUCUCCGUCAGAAGGCCUUCUUCGAAGUUGUGCAUCUGGCCCAGGAUGCAGAGCUCCUUAUGGGGAAGAGGGUGAUGAAGCAGCUUGAGGAAAUACUGAAGAGACUGGAGGGGGCAGCAGAAGCUGCUGCUCAGAGAGAAAACAUUCUGACACAACCCCACCUAACUCAAGUGCCUUACCUUGGUUCUAAUGCUAAACAACAGGUCAUCAGCUCCAAGGACACAGCCUUUAGCAGGUUGCUGCAGAUGCUUGAGUUAGGUAAGACCCCCACGGAGAGGGAGAAUCCAUUCCAAACCUAUGGUAGGCUGGAAACAGCGGCCUUUAAACUACAGCAGGAUUUGGUCACAGUACAAGAGGCUUUGGAUGGGGCCAGACGAGAGCAAGCCUAUACUGGAGCUCGGAUAGAAAGUGACCGAGAUGUGCUCAACCAAGUGGCAUACUCAGACAUUGUGCAGCCUCUUCUGAGGCCGCAGGUAUGUGCCAUAGCCACACCUGCACUGGAGCUCUGCCCUCAUGCACAGGAGCUCACAAUAGUUCUAGAUGAGUUGGAGGUCAAGCAGAAGACCUUGUACACAUCUCUUCAGGACAUAGUCUGUGACUUGAAGGCCAAACGAGGAAGGCUUGAAUGCAGUGCUACCCUGAGGAGAGAGAGGGAACUGUAUGUUUAUUUCCAUCUGGACUCAAGACAGCUCAGAAAGGCGGUGAGAGAUAUAGAGGCUCAAGCAGGGGUUAUGUAGACUCAGAAUGUAGACCGAUCUCCUUUCUCUACUCCAGCCUACGAUACAGAGGUCCCUGCUGCAAAAAAAAAAUUAUGUUAUAUGCAGAUAAGGACAUGGACCAUUGUUGCUUCUGUUAUGGAUCUCCGUAUAUCUUAUAUACUAAUUUUAUUAUUCUUUAUUUUUACUAUCUGCUAGAAGUUAAUGUUCUACCUACUGUUUCACAUAAUUUUGCAUUUGUACUUUAACAAAUGUGCUGCUUCUUGUAUAAAUCAUGUUUUUUGGUUGAUUAACAGUUGUAUCUUUGUGAAUAAACAAUUUGUAAUCUCAAUGUUUGAGCAAAUCUUUUUGUGUGAAAGUGUUUUUCAAACUUUUUAUAAAUGCAGUUUGAUUUUUUGCUUCAAUGCAUUUUAAAGAAGGCCACCUGAGAAACACCAGCCGACUACAUGUAUUAUAUUUGGAAGAGUUUAACAGCAGCCAAUUAUUGUGAUGCAUGUGCACAUUUGCUCCAUUUGAUGUCAGAUUUGAAUCUAGCACCAUCUGCUUAGAAUGCACUGUAUGUUUCUGCAUGUGUGUCUACAGGGUAAAGACAGACUAGGAGAUCAACAAAAAUGAGAUGGAGUGCUACCUCUGCAGCAGUUUGAACGCAGCACCUCUCUCUGCAGCUGCACAGAGCAUCAUAGCAGCCCUUCGGGUCCAGUAUAUGCACAGAACAAACAGACAGCUAGUGAUUCAGAAACAGAACAUUCUAACAGUAUUAGUAACUUGAGGCUAUUUAUUUUAUUGGCUAUGAAUUUUAUUGGUUAUUAACUUUUGAGCUAGGCUUGGUGACUUUGAGAAACUAGUUCACAAACAGGUGUUAAAAACUGUCUAAAUGUUUUUCUGUCUGAGGAAAUAACUUAUUUACAAUUACAGCCUCUGGUAGAGGGUUCAGCCUGUCUCCACAGCAGGACAGAGAUGACACAAAUCAAGAUUUGUGUGCAGGGAAAAGCAGAGACCUGGAUUAUAAUAAUCUGGUGGAAGAGUCAAACCACAUAAAGUUAAAGGAUGCGACCAGUGAUGCGAGGUUCUCUCCAGCCAGAUGAGAAUAAAAUCCUGAUGCCUGUUGGAGAAAGAGAUGUUAAGAUGGAGUCCACAGCACAGCAUCCAGCCCUACUCUAAAGUAAUGUACUCAGUCCUGGAUGUCUUAUGUCAUCAGAGAUGUUUUUGUUUGUUUUUUCAGAUCCCAAUAUUGAUCUUACUUAUUUUCCACUUUGAUUUUAUUAAUUGAAUCAAAUUUUUUAGAUGUUUGACAUUUGAUAACAAUAUGAUUAAGAGAGAGGAAAAAAAAUAGGACUGGGAAACACUAA